AUCACUCUUCAAGGAAUGGAUAAUAACAGACUUCGAAUGAAGAAAAACACAGAGAUGGUGUGUCUAAGAAACUUCAAAAGGUGUAGACCUCCUGACUGAAGCAUAUCGGAUUUAUUUAAUUUUUUUCAUUAUAUUUCUGUACUCCUCCAAGGGAAAGUCAUGAUUACACUAACC